rnacentral:rRNA from 1 species
UGUGCCUACAAUCCGUCAAAGCCCUCUCUUGUAGUGGGGUGAUGGCGUGCCUUUUGAAGAAUGAGCCUGCGAGUCAGGGACAUGUCGCGAGGUUAACCCGUGAGGGGUAGCCGCAGCGAAAGCGAGUCUGAAUAGGGCGUAUCCAACCUGUUGGGGUUGGUGUAGUGGUGUGUUCUGGACCCGAAGCGGGGUGAUCUACCCAUGGCCAGGGUGAAGCGCGGGUAAGACCGCGUGGAGG